UACGAAGGGGGCUAGCGUUGUUCGGAAUUACUGGGCGUAAAGCGCGCGCAGGCGGUCUUCCAAGUCAGUGGUGAAAGCCCGGAGCUCAACUCCGGAACUGCCAUUGAAACUGUUGGACUUGAGUACGAGAGAGGUGAGUGGAAUUCCCAGUGUAGAGGUGAAAUUCGUAGAUAUUGGGAAGAACACCGGUGGCGAAGGCGGCUCACUGGCUCAUUACUGACGCUCAGGCGCGACAGCGUGGGGAUCAAACAGG
rnacentral:rRNA from 1 species